CACUGUUUGGGAAGAGUGAAAAAUAAUGGGUGAAAGUAAAAUAUAACUUAUUUUAGUCUCUCAUUUUUCUCUCCAAAACGGGAGGAAAAUAAAUGAAGAAAGGUGUAAAAGUUUAUUAUUUGGUGUGAAAUUACAAUAUUAACUAUCCAUUCCACUUUCCCAAAUUACUUCAUCCACUGCGCUUACUCCUCUCCUCUCCUCUCUCAAGCUCCACUUCCAUCUCAAAUCAGUAUCCCUUCUCAAUCUUCAAAAUUAUGAACUAUGAAGAAUUCUUUUUAGAGAAGGAGUGAGUUGUCAAGUUUAUUACACUUGAAUUUUCGAAUUUGCGUUGUUGAGCAGGGAAUGCUAUUGCUAAAGAAUCCACUAUAACUGGUUAGGAAUCUAAUGAAAUUGCAAAGCAGUCUCUUUCACCUUCAAUGUGGUAGACCAGAUUAUUACCGACAAGAUGAGGUAUAUUCAGAGUCGGAAGUGAUAGGGUUGCAUCAAGAUCAUUUGAUGGAUGCAUAUUUCUAUAUGUCUAAUGUCCGAUAACAAUUCGAUCUUUCUUUGGUGUCCCUCGAUCAAGGCGUUUAGAAUGGUUAAUGAGGGCUAUGAGUUCGAGUACAUGAAAGUAAGAAGCCAUUAUAAUAAUGACAAACUUGGCAUUAAUAGGUUAGUUUUUAAAUUAGAUUUGUGUUUGAAUCGAAUAUUAAUUAAUUUUCAUGUAUUUAUGCAGAUGUGAUAUGUUUUAAACUAUUAAUUGCUCUAUUUAGGUGGAUAGUUAAUUGUUUAAUGAGACUUUUAGUUGAA